UUAACAUAUUGAAACAAAAAUGCUGGGCUAAAUAACGCCCAAAGUGAUGCCAUAAAUCUUCUUAAUAACCCCUGGACCACUUGAUGCAAAACAUGCCAAAAUUGUGGUGUUGCUCUUAUUAAGGGGUUCUUCUAUGCAACCCUUCUAAAGAGAUUUUCAUUAUGGUGGUAUAGUUCAAACUUUUUGAUUGUGGUUUUUUUUUUUUUUUUUUUAUCAGUGAAAUUCUCUAAACUUCAUUCUGAUAAUAGUUCAGUAUUAUACAUCUGUAUUUGAUUUUAAACCUGUAAGCAAAUACAGCCCUUAUAUUUGAACUGCCUGCUCAUGCAACACAAGGAUCACACCCAAACCAACAGAUGCAAAACAACAAAGGACCAUUUUGCAUCAAGUUGAAAGCAAAUUUUCACAUGAGAUCUUUAUACACAGGUUAUGCAACUUUAGAAUUUAUGAUACCAGCUACAAAGAAUGUUGUUAGAAUGUAUCUGACAAACGAGCUUUUAUAACAUUAACUUUAAAUGGCAUAUGUUGAAUCUAUGUUAAAAUAUGAACUAGCAUUACAGAAAACAGGCUAAACUAUUAACUAGCAUUACAGAAAACAGGUUAAAAUAUUAACUAGCAUUACAGAAAACAGGUUAAAAUAUGAACUAGCAUUAAAGAAAACAGGUUAAAAUAUGAACUAGCAUUACAGAAAACAGGUUAAAAUAUGAAGUAGCAUUAAAGAAAACAGGUUAAAAUAUGAAGUAGCAUUACAGAAAACAGGCUAAACCAUUAACUAGCAUUACAGAAAACAGGUUAAAAUAUGAACUAGCAUUACAGAAAACAGGUUAAAAUAUGAACUAGCAUUACAGAAAACAGGCUAAACCAUUAACUAACAUUACAGAAAACAGGUUAAAAUAUGAACUAGCAUUACAGAAAACAGGCUAAAAUAUGAACUAGCAUUACAGAAAACAGGCUAAAAUAUGAACUAGCAUUACAGAAAACAGGCUAAACCAUUAACUAACAUUACAGAAAACAGGUUAAAAUAUGAACUAGCAUUACAGUACACAAACUUAACCAUGAAUUAGCAUUACACAUAACAAACUAAACCAUGAACUACUAUUAUAGCAAACAGGCUAAACCAUAACCUAGCAUUACAAUAAAAAGGCAAAAUCUAUGGACUAGCAUUAUAGUAAACAGUUCAAAUAUGAACGAGUAAUCAAUGACCUAACAUUACAACAAAUCAUUAAAUCAUGAACUAGCAUUUUAGUAAACUGGCUAAACUAUGGGCUAGCAUUAUACUAAACAGCUAACAUAUAAACAUGAAUUUCUUAGUGAGAUUUUGUAGCAAAAAUACACAUCUAGCUUAAUACACUGGCAUUUUAAACUUCUGAAAACCACAAGAUGUGAAAUUACUUAAUUUACAAAUCAUUCUUGAUGACUCAUAAAACAAACAGUCAAUAUGUUGUUAUUAUCAAGAAAUUAAUGGAUAAACACCAACACCAAGCUAAUGGGUAGUUGGCCAGGGAUGGGGGGAGGUCAUAUUUUCUCUUCACUUUGCUUCCUCAAGCAAAACAAAAGUGUGCCAUUACUGUGGACUAUAAAUGUGUGUUCAUGUGAAUGUAAAAUUCCACUACAACUCGACACACAAUUUCCACACUCUGUUUUCAAGAAAAUGUUUCCUUUUGCCACUUUUGCCUUCGCAAACAUCAAACAUCAGGAGCAUCUGAGGCCCUUCCACAGGCCUGACAAUGUGACCUAGUAAUACAAUAUCACUUCAUUAAAACUGUGCACACAUGCUCACAAACAGUUGUUCUUUAAUCUUCUACCAACUGUUUGGUAUUUGUUGGACAGAUAAAGCAUAUGAGAUAUAGACAUAACUGACCAACAAUAAUAUUUGUGCUCAGUAAAUCCACAUCAUUCAAAUGUUGUUUACUGCAGUAAUACAUCAUAAAUCACAAUGCUGAAUAGAGUUCCUGGUGCUAACUUUUGAUCUAAAGGAAUACAGCCAGGUUUGUUAACCUCACUGCAUGGCUAUCGUUACACCUAGCUUGCACAACAACACAAGCUUCAACAAACCAUGAAGCUUAAAAAUGAACCAUGAAGCAGUUACAUGAUCUGAAGUCAUGAUCAGGUAACUACCUGACAACAAUAAAAAUUUAACUUGUGUAAUAGACCAGAGAUCUUUUGAAAUCCAUUAAUUGAUGCGUAGUGACUCUGAAAAUUAGCAUACAGUCUUCUGUCAAACUGCUGGAACGGCAAGGCCAGUUCAUUUAUUUUUGCUGUAGACUGAACACAUCUGGCCUUGAGAUCAAAAGAUGAAUAUGAGAAGAGAGUUUAGAAUUUCAGCUUUUAUUUCCUGGUACUUACAACCCCAAUUCCAAAAAAGUUGGGACACUGUGUAAAAUGUACAUAAAUGUAAAUAAAAACAGAAUGCAAAGAUUUGCAAAUCCCAUAAACCCAUAUGUUAUUUACAAUAGAACAUAUGAAAACAUAUCAAAUGUUUAAACUGAGUAAAUGUACCAUUUAAAGAAAUAAAUAAGGUAGUUUUGAAUUUGAUGGCCGUAAACAUGUCUCAAAAAAGUUGGGACGGGGGCAACAAAAGGCUGGAAAAGUAAGUGUUAGUAAAAAAGACACAGCUGGAGGUUAAUUGGGAACAGGUCAGUAACAUGACUGGGUAUAAAAAGAGUAUCUUCUAGAGGCGGAGUCUUUCAGAAGUAAAGAUGGGCAGAGGUUCACCAAUCUGCGAAAACCUGCAUCUACAAUUUGUGGAACAAUUUCAGAAUAAUGUUCCUCAAUGUAAAAUUGCGAAGACUAUGAAUAUCUCAUCAUCAACAGUACGUAAUAUCGUCAAAAGAUUCAGAGAAUCUGGUCAAAUCUCUGUGAAAUCUCCACCUUUUUGGAAUUGGGAUGUGUUGAACAACACAAAACAGAACCUUUUUUAUCAGACCACCCAAUUGUUAGGCGAGUAAAAGUAUAGAAACAGACAAGUCUUGAAGUAAAUUAAAGUAAAUAGCAGUUAAUAUUUGUUUGAUUAUCCCUUGCUUGCAAUAACUGCACCAAGUCUGCGACUCACUAACACCACCAAAUUACUGGUGUCUUCUUUUGUGGUGCUUUUCCAGCCUUCUACAGGAGCUUCUUUUAGUUGUUGUUGUUGUUUUUUUGUUUUGUUUGUUUUUUUUUUUU
ensembl:lncRNA